GACGAACGCUGGCGGCGUGCUUAACACAUGCAAGUCGAGCGGUAAGGCCCUUUCGGGGGUACGACGAGCGGCGAACGGGUGAGUAACACGUGGGUGACCUGCCCUCCAGCUCUGGGAUAAGCCUGGGAAACCGGGUCUAAUACUGGAUAUGACUCCAUGACGCAUGUUGUGGGGUGGAAAGCCUUGUGCGGCUGAGGAUGGGCCCGCGG
rnacentral:rRNA from 1 species